rnacentral:misc_RNA from 1 species
GAUGAAGAACGUGGCGAAAUGCGAUAAGUAAUGUGAAUUGCAGAAUUCAGUGAAUCAUCGAAUCUUUGAACGCACCUUGCGCUCUUUGGUAUUCCGAAGAGCAUGCCUGUUUGAGUGUCAUGAAAAUAUCAACCUUGACUUGGGUUUUGUGCUCUAGUCUCGGCUUGGAAUUGGGUGCUUGCCGCUUUUACGAGCGGCUCACCUUAAAUGUAUUAGCUGGAUCUGUCUUUGAGACUUGGUUUGACUUGGCGUAAUAAGUAUUUCGCUAAGGACAUUCUUCGGAGUGGCCUCGUUUCUAGGACGCUUGUCCGCUUUCCAAUACAAGUUCCACCUCGUGGACAUGACUUUUUAUUAUCUGGCCUCAAAUCAGGUAGGACUACCCGCUGAACUUAAGCAUAUCAAUAAGCGGAGGA